GGCCCCGGCACAGGUGGCCCCACAGGCGGCUUGUACGGACUCGCUGUAUUGCCCGCGGACACGCAGAAACACAGGGAGCAGGGAGUCGCGGCACCCGGGCACCUCGGCCUCCCUGAAAGGCACGCGGGGUGGGUGCCCGGUGCGGCACCUCUAAGUGGGGAUGACGCCCGAGACGAGGAGGAUGAUGAGGAUGAGGAUGAUGGCACCCACAAGGCCGAGGAUGAGGAGCAGCUUCAGGUUCUUCCACCAGUACUUGCGGGCCACCUUCUGCGACGUUGUCUUGAAGUGCUCCGACUGCGGGCAGAGGAGGGCACCGGGCUCGGGGUGCUGCACCCUAGGGGUCCCCCCCCACCCCAAGGACCCUGCACCCAUCCCAUGACCCUGUGCACCGCACCUCAGGGCUUACCCAGGGACCAGGUGCCACCCGGGGGGCCCAGCAGUCACCCUGUGCCCCACCCCUGUGCCCCACUCUGACAGUCCACUUAGGGCCCCUGUAUCCACCCUGGAGAGCUGGUGCCACUUUGAGGACCCUCUACCCAGGCCAGGGACCCAGCACCCAACCCCACGUCCCCAAGAGGGGCUGGGGCUGCGCCUGGUGCCCGCGGUGACCUUCUCCGGGACGUGCCCAGAACCAGGGAACCGCCGGGCGGUUUGGUGGCCCCCCCCCCCUCCAACCCCAUAGGGGCUCCGGGCACCCCACUUAGAGCCUGGGCACCCUGAGCACCCCAGGCACCCCAUAGGGGCUCCGGGCACCCCACUUAGAGCCUGGGCACCCUGAGCACCCCAGGCACCCCAUAGGGGCUCCGGGCACCCCACUUAGAGCCUGGGCACCCUGAGCACCCCAGGCACCCCAUAGGGGCUCCGGGCACCCCACUUAGAGCCUGGGCACCCUGAGCACCCCAGGCACCCCACAGGGGCUCUGAGCACCCCACAUGGAGCCCAUGCACCCUACCUGCAUCUCAGGCACCCAUACAGACCCCGAGCAUCCCUACCACCCCACAGGGACCCCAUAUGCACCCUGGACACCCACAUGGACCCCGAGCACCCCACAGGGACCCCACAGAGAGCCUGGGCACCCUAUAUGCACCCACACAGACCUCGAGCACCCCACAGAGACCCCACACGCACCCUGGACACCCACAUGGACCCCAAGCACUCUAAGCACCCCACAGGGACCCCACAGAGAGCCUGGGCACCCUAUAUGCACCCACACAGACCUCGAGCACCCCACAGAGACCCCACACGCACCCUGGACACCCACAUGGACCCCAAGCACUCUAAGCACCCCACAGGGACCCCACAGAGAGCCUGGGCACCCUAUAUGCACCCACACAGACCUCGAGCACCCCACAGAGACCCCACACGCACCCUGGACA
rnacentral:lncRNA from 1 species